rnacentral:rRNA from 1 species
AUUGAACGCUGGCGGCAUGCUUUACAUAUGCAAGUCGAACGGUAACAGGUUAAGCUGACGAGUGGCGAACGGGUGAGUAAUGCAUCGGAACGUGCCCGGUCGUGGGGGAUAACGCAGCGAAAGCUGCGCUAAUACCGCAUACGAUCUGAGGAUGAAAGCGGGGGACCGUAAGGCCUCGCGCGAUCGGAGCGGCCGAUGUCAGAUUAGGUAGUUGGUGGGGUAAAGGCUCACCAAGCCAACGAUCUGUAGCUGGUCUGCGAGGACGACCAGCCACACUGGGACUGAGACACGGCCCAGACUCCUACGGGAGGCAGCAGUGGGGAAUUUUGGACAGUGGGCGAAAGCCUGAUCCAGCAAUGCCGCGUGCAGGAAGAAGGCCUUCGGGUUGUAAACUGCUUUUGUACGGAGCGAAAAGGUCUCCUCUAAUACAGGGGGCUCAUGACGGUACCGUAAGAAUAAGCACCGGCUAACUACGUGCCAGCCGCCGCUGUAA